AUUGAACGCUGGCGGCAGGCCUAACACAUGCAAGUCGAGCGGUAGAGAGAAGCUUGCUUCUCUUGAGAGCGGCGGACGGGUGAGUAAUGCCUAGGAAUCUGCCUGGUAGUGGGGGAUAACGUUCGGAAACGGACGCUAAUACCGCAUACGUCCUACGGGAGAAAGCAGGGGACCUUCGGGCCUUGCGCUAUCAGAUGAGCCUAGGUCGGAUUAGCUAGUUGGUGGGGUAAUGGCUCACCAAGGCGACGAUCCGUAACUGGUCUGAGAGGAUGAUCAGUCACACUGGAACUGAGACACGGUCCAGACUCCUACGGGAGGCAGCAGUGGGGAAUAUUGGACAAUGGGCGAAAGCCUGAUCCAGCCAUGCCGCGUGUGUGAAGAAGGUCUUCGGAUUUUAAAGCACUUUAAGUUGGGAGGAAGGGCAGUAAAUUAAUACUUUGCUGUUUUGACGGUACCGACAGAAUAAGCACCGGCUAACUCUGUG
rnacentral:rRNA from 1 species